rnacentral:rRNA from 1 species
AGAGUUUGAUCCUGGCUCAGAAUGAACGCUGGCGGCAGGCCUAACACAUGCAAGUCGAACGAGGCAGCAAUGCCUAGUGGCGGACGGGUGAGUAACGCGUGGGGAACCUACCUCUUUGUGGGGAAUAACGUUCCGAAAGGAAUGGUAAUACCGCAUGAGACCAUGGGCUGGGAUGCUUAUGGUGAAACCCGGGGACCGCAAGGCCUGGGGCAAGGAGAGGGUCCUGCGUCUGAUUAGCUAGUUGGCGGGGUAACGGCCCACCAAGGCGUCGAUCAGUAGCCGGCCUGAGAGGGUGAUCGGCCACACUGGAACUGAGACACGGUCCAGACUCCUACGGGAGGCAGCAGUGGGGAAUUUUGCGCAAUGGGCGAGAGCCUGACGCAGCAACGCCGCGUGGGUGAUGAAGGUCUUCGGAUCGUAAAACCCUGUCGUCAGGGACGAAGGUCACGAGUUUAAGAGAUGCGUGACUUGACGGUACCUGGAGAGGAAGCCCCGGCUAACUCUGUGCCAGCAGCCGCGGUAAUACAGAGGGGGCAAGCGUUAUUCGGAAUUAUUGGGCGUAAAGGGCGCGUAGGCGGUGAUUUAAGUGAGAUGUGUAAUCCCCGAGCUUAACUUGGGAACUGCAUCUCAGACUGGGUCGCUAGAGUGCUGGAGAGGGUGGUGGAAUUCCACGUGUAGCGGUGAAAUGCGUAGAGAUGUGGAGGAACACCAGUGGCGAAGGCGGCCACCUGGACAAUGACUGACGCUGAGGUACGAAAGUGCGGGGAGCAAACAGGAUUAGAUACCCUGGUAG